UUUAGCUUAGAGCAAAUAUUUUUUUAUCGUUGUAUUUCAUUAAAUUGUCACUUUUCUGUCGUAAUUGACAGGAAACCAAGAUGUCCCUCAACAUAUAAGAACUAUCUCGGUCCUGUGUGAAUGUAAAUAUAUCGUUGUUAAACUAAAUAUCGAUAUACAAACUAAAAAAUACGGAUAUUUCAUGGUAACUAGGCUAGUUAGCUACCGCUAGCUUCUUGUUAGCUUGGUUGUUAGCUGCUAAGUGCUGCUAUCACGGAUACAAAGAGGAUGAAUCCCUCCAUGUUGUUCCUCGCUCUUCCUGUCCUGAAGGAUCUGGUCUGUGUCUCUGUGACUCUGCAGCAGGAGGACGAGGAUCUGAGGAGCACACGGAUCAAGACCUGCAGAGAGCUGGUUCUCCUCUACUCUGAUAUUUUGGCCUCUCCAGCUCUGGACUCCUUCUCUGACAUCACAGUGAUCACAUCU